UAAAAAAAAGCUUGCUUCUCUUUCCAGCGGCGGACGGGUGAGUAAUGCCUAGGAAUCUGCCUGGUAGUGGGGGAUAACGUCCGGAAACGGACGCUAAUACCGCAUACGUCCUACGGGAGAAAGCAGGGGACCUUCGGGCCUUGCGCUAUCAGAUGAGCCUAGGUCGGAUUAGCUAGUUGGUGAGGUAAUGGCUCACCAAGGCGACGAUCCGUAACUGGUCUGAGAGGAUGAUCAGUCACACUGGAACUGAGACACGGUCCAGACUCCUACGGGAGGCAGCAGUGGGGAAUAUUGGACAAUGGGCGAAAGCCUGAUCCAGCCAUGCCGCGUGUGUGAAGAAGGUCUUCGGAUUGUAAAGCACUUUAAGUUGGGAGGAAGGGUACUUACCUAAUACGUGAGUAUUUUGACGUUACCGACAGAAUAAGCACCGGCUAACUCUGUGCCAGCAGCCGCGGUAAUACAGAGGGUGCAAGCGUUAAUCGGAAUUACUGGGCGUAAAGCGCGCGUAGGUGGUUCGUA
rnacentral:rRNA from 1 species